rnacentral:rRNA from 1 species
UGGGGAAUAUUGGACAAUGGGCGCAAGCCUGAUCCAGCCAUGCCGCGUGAGUGAUGAAGGCCUUAGGGUUGUAAAGCUCUUUCGCCGGUGAAGAUAAUGACGGUAACCGGAGAAGAAGCCCCGGCUAACUUCGUGCCAGCAGCCGCGGUAAUACGAAGGGGGCUAGCGUUGCUCGGAAUCACUGGGCGUAAAGCGCACGUAGGCGGAUCGUUAAGUCAGGGGUGAAAAUCCUGGAGCUCAACUCCAGAACUGCCCUUGAUACUGGCGAUCUCGAGUUCGAGAGAGGUUGGUGGAACUCCGAGUGUAGAGGUGAAAUUCGUAGAUAUUCGGAAAGAACACCAGUGGCGAAGGCGGCCAACUGGCUCGAUACUGACGCUGAGGUGCGAAAGCGUGGGGAGCAAAACAGGAUUAGAUACCCUGGUAGUCCACGCCGUAAAACGAUGGAUGCUAGCCGUUGGGGGGUUUACCUCUCAGUGGCGCAGCUAACGCCUUAAGCAUCCCGCCUGGGGAGUACGGUCGCAAGAUUAAAAACUCAAAAUGAAUUGACGGGGUCAUAGCUGUUUCCU